CCUACGGGAGGCUGCAGUGGGGAAUAUUGGGCAAUGGAGGAAACUCUGACCCAGCAACGCCGCGUGAAGGAUGAAGGUUUUCGGAUUGUAAACUUCUGUCGCGAGGGAUGAAGAAUGACGGUACCUGACUAAGAAGCCCCGGCUAACUACGUGCCAGCAGCCGCGGUAAUACGUAGGGGGCAAGCGUUAUCCGGAUUUACUGGGUGUAAAGGGAGCGUAGACGGCAGCGCAAGUAUGGAGUGAAAUGCCGGGGCCCAACCCCGGAACUGCUCUGGAAACUGUGAAGCUGGAGUGCAGGAGAGGUAAGCGGAAGUCCUGGUGUAGCGGUGAAAUGCGUAGAUAUCAGGAGGAACACCGGCGGCGAAGGCGGCUUACUGGACUGUAACUGACGUUGAGGCUCGAAGGCGUGGGGAGCAAACAGGAUUAGAUACCCCAGUAGUC
rnacentral:rRNA from 1 species